GAUGAACGCUAGCGGCAGGCUUAAUACAUGCAAGUCGUGGGGCAGCAGGACUGUAGCAAUACAGUUGCUGGCGACCGGCAAACGGGUGCGGCACACGUACGCAACUUACCCUGAACUGGGGGAUAGCCCGGGGAAACCCGGAUUAAUACCCCGUAAUAUAAUGGAGUGGCAUCACUUUAUUAUUAAAGCUCCUGCGGUUCGUGAUGGGCGUGCGGCUGAUUAGUUAGUUGGUUGAGGGAACAGCGCACCAAGCCUACGACCAUGAACUGGUGUGAUGGCACGACAAAUCAAACGGGAAACAAGACACGGACCCGACUGGGACGGGAGGGAGCAGAAAGGAACACUAUGCACUGGAGGCAACUCUGACACAGCCAUGCCGCGUGGAGGAUGAAGGCCCUCUGGGUUGUAAACUUCUUUUAUAGGGGACGAAACCUGUGUAUUAUUACGCAGUUGACGGUACCCUAGGAAUAAGCACCGGCUAACUCCGUG
rnacentral:rRNA from 1 species